rnacentral:rRNA from 3 species
UUGACCUCGGAUCAGGUAGGGAUACCCGCUGAACUUAAGCAUAUCAAUAGGC